AAUCCAUAGGUUAAUGAGGCGAACCGGGGGAACUGAAACAUCUAAGUACCCCGAGGAAAAGAAAUCAACCGAGAUUCCCCCAGUAGCGGCGAGCGAACGGGGAGGAGCCCAGAGCCUGAAUCAGCAUGUGUGUUAGUGGAAGCGUCUGGAAAGGCGCGCGAUACAGGGUGACAGCCCCGUACACAAAAGCGCAUGUGCUGUGAGCUCGAUGAGUAGGGCGGGACACGUGGUAUCCUGUCUGAAUAUGGGGGGACCAUCCUCCAAGGCUAAAUACUCCUGACUGACCGAUAGUGAACCAGUACCGUGAGGGAAAGGCGAAAAGAACCCCGGCGAGGGGAGUGAAAAAGAACCUGAAACCGUGUACGUACAAGCAGUGGGAGCACCCUUUUGGGUGUGACUGCGUACCUUUUGUAUAAUGGGUCAGCGACUUAUAUUCUGU
rnacentral:rRNA from 1 species